CUCAUCUGUAGGCGUUAGAAUAGAUUAGUUUUUCUUUAAUAGGAAUAGCUCAAAUAGACCAUGAGUACAAUGUUUCCAAGUGUUUUGGUUUGAAGUCCUGUUGGAACGUCUCCAUACCGGGUUUUUUCCAGUACACUAAAAAAAUUUUUCUAUUCCGAUGACUGUCUAAAUUUAUAGAAUAGACUAAUUUUUCCUAGAUAAGUAUCCCACUCAGUUGAUAAUUCGAUAGGGAAACUGCAAGGAGAAAAACAAAAUUAGUUUAUAUGGCAGCAAUACAAUAUGCGUCAUGGAAACUUAAAACAAUUGGUGUAUAAAU